AGGAAUUGUGUUGGAAGCUGUGAAUAUAGACCUGUAAGGUUGCAUUUCAUAUGGAUGUGGGUAUGAUGUGCUGCAGCAAGAUGACGUCUUGAUUAGCAAUGAUGCUAUGCUAGAAAUUGAAGAAGGAGAAUUUGGAAGAUAGACUGUCAUGAAGGGCCAAAGUGUCUGUAAGUAAGAGAAGUUUCAAGACAGGAGAACAAAGUAAGGCCAAAGACUUACUCACUUUAUAUUUUUGUUUAGAAUUUGUCUUAUGUGAUUGAUUCUUACAAAGGUAAUAUAUUUGAAUCAUUAUUUUAAAUAUGUGAUUGCCUGAGUUUAUGACACAUUAUUAUCUUAAAGGAUUUGUUUAAUUCACUAAUUUUUUUUUAUCUCACUGCCUCAUUCUUGGGUGAAUGGGGGUCUUG